rnacentral:rRNA from 1 species
CACGUAGGGCGCAAGCGUUGUCCGGAAUUACUGGGCGUAAAGCGCACGUAGGCGGUUGUCUUUGUCAGAGGUGAAAGCCCGGGGCUCAACUCCGGAAUUGCCUUUGAAACGGGACCGCUUGAGUCCGAGAGAGGGUGGCGGAAUUCCUAGUGUAGAGGUGAAAUUCGUAGAUAUUAGGAAGAACACCAGUGGCGAAGGCGGCCACCUGGCUCGGUACUGACGCUCAGGUGCGAAAGCGUGGGGAGCAAACAGG